rnacentral:misc_RNA from 1 species
GAAAUGUGAUAAGUAAUGUGAAUUGCAGAAUCCAGUGAAUCAUCGAAUCUUUGAACGCACAUUGCGCCCGCCAGCAUUCUGGCGGGCAUGCCUGUUCGAGCGUCAUUUCAACCCUCGACCUCCCCUUGGGGAGGUCGGCGUUGGGGACCGGCAGCACACCGCCGGCCCUGAAAUGGAGUGGCGGCCCGUCCGCGGCGACCUCUGCGUAGUAAUACAGCUCGCACCGGAACCCCGACGCGGCCACGCCGUAAAACACCCAACUUCUGAACGUUGACCUCGAAUCAGGUAGGACUACCCGCUGAACUUAAGC